GGCAGGAGCUCCCACACCCCAGGGGGAGGUCGGAGCUCUAGGGGCAAGUCCGUGCCUCCCGAUCUCGCUCCCUUUCCCCGAGUUGAGCAGCAGGACGCCCCGUCUUCCUGCUGGGCUGAACGGGCGCUUGAGCCCCGGCUCCUCCCGGCGGAGCGGGGCACGGCUGUUCCCCCUCCCGCUGCCUCUUCCUGGUCGGAGACUGCCGUGCGCGGCGGGGAGCGGCGCUGCAGCCACCGGGACGCACCUCCGGCACAGGUAGCGGGGCCACGGCCGGAGCACCGCGCUGCUCGAAGGAAGGAGGGAGGGCACGGGGUAAGGAGGCGGCGAGACAGCGACCCGCAGGCACGACCCCGGAGCGCCGGCAGCGAGCGGGAGGAGCUGAUUCGGACGGAGGAAAGGAGACGCGCGCAGCGGAGCGGAGCGCGGAUCACCUCUCUCGGCCGCCAACCUCAUCCCUGCCACCAGGAGAGAGGGGCUGCCUGCCCUCUCGCCCGCACCCCGGCUGCCGCCGCCCCCGGCGGAUGCAGCGCGCAGCCCCUGGAGCGCCUGAAGCCAGAAGGAGACGCCGGUGCGUUGCCGUUUACUGCUUCGUUUGGGUUUAUUAUUGCUUUUCCUUCCGGCGGGGAGUUGCGGGAGGUGGUGCGUUGCGGGGAGCGGAGCGAGCGGCUCCCCCGGGGCGGAGUGAGCAGCGUUGUGAUUUGCUCUUCAUCACGAGCCGGAGCCCCUCGGAGCACAAGUGUUGCGGGCGGCGCCGCGGGACACGCGGGGUGUAGCUCAGCGCAGGUGGUUCCGACACAGCAGGUGGCUCCGGGCUGCCCACGGGACAGGUACGCGGGGCUGGCCGUCGGGCAGGACGCGGGGCUGCUCCCCAGGCGGGUACCGUGCAUUACACAACCACCCGAAAAGGGGGGACGCGUCCCGGCCGGCAGCUGGAGGCCCUCGCUCGGCCCCGUGGGCUUCCGGUUUCACAUCGCGGCCGUGCCCAGAGUUUUGCAGCUUAACAGCGAACUUCUGCUUUUUCACGUUAACCCCUGA
rnacentral:lncRNA from 1 species